rnacentral:rRNA from 1 species
UACGGGGGGGGCAAGCGUUGUUCGGAAUUACUGGGCGUAAAGGGCUCGUAGGUGGCCAACUAAGUCAGACGUGAAAUCCCCUCGGCUUAACCGGGGAACUGCGUCUGAUACUGGAUGGCUUGAGUUCGGGAGAGGGAGUGCGGAAUUCCAGGUGUAGCGGUGAAAUGCGUAGAUAUCUGGAGGAACACCGGUGGCGAAGGCGGCAUCCUGGACCGAUACUGACGCUGAGGAGCGAAAGCCAGGGGAGCAAACGGG